rnacentral:rRNA from 1 species
CUACGGGGCGCAGCAGUCGAGAAUAUUGGUCAAUGGGCGCAAGCCUGAACCAGCGACGCCGCGUGCUUGAAGAAGUCCUUCGGGAUGUAAAGAGCUUUUCUGCCUGAAUAACCCUUCGGGGUGAAGGUAAGGCAGGAAUAAAGGGUUCCUAAACUCGUGCCAGCAGGAGCGGUAAUACGAGUACCCUAAGCGUUAUCCGGAUUUAUUGGGCGUAAAGGGUCCGUAGGCGGCCAGAAAAGUCUCUGGUUAAAUACCCAGGGCUCAACCUUGGGGAUGCUAGAGAUACUAUCUGGCUAGAGGGCGCUAGAGGCUGAUGGAACGGUCGGUGUAGGGGUGAAAUCCGUUGAUAUCGACCGGAACACCAAAAGCGAAGGCAUUCAGCUGGAGCGACCCUGACGCUGAGGGACGAAAGCGUGGGUUUGGAAAAGGAUUAGAUACCCUUGUAGUC